rnacentral:lncRNA from 1 species
CGUUUACAAGAAGGAAAAGAGAGCAAAAUAUCAUGUUUAUUAUAUAAGCUGUUAUAUGUAAAUUUUAAUAACUAUGGUUAUGAUAGUAAAUGGAUAUUAUAUAUAAAGAAAAUUUUUGAUGACUGUGGAAUGUCAAAUAUAUGGCAAAGUCACAACUUAUUUGAGAAACGUUGGGUUGUAUUGAGUGUUCAGCAAAGAUUAAGAGAUCAGUUCAUUCAAGAAUGGUCAACAGAAAUGAACACUUCGCCCAAGGGGCUGUGUUAUAGAUUGUACAAAAAUGUUUUUAAAUUUGAACACUAUUUAUCAGUACUACCAUUUAAUUUAUUAAUAACCUUAUGUAAAUUUAGAUGUGGGAAUAACCGUUUGCCCAUCGAGACGGGAAGGUGGCGCAACAUACCAAGAUCUGAAAGAUUGUGUCACCUUUGUGGCUCAGCUGACAUUGGUGAUGAAUACUAUUAUAUCAUGUCUUGUAAUUAUUUCAAAGAUGAAAGAUGCAAAUACUUACCACAUUAUUGUAAUAAAAAUAUAAAUGUUAUCAAAUUCAAACAAGUAUGUUCAACCCAAAAUAUUGUUGAACUUGAGAAACUUUGUAGAUUUAUUAAAUCUAUUUCUGUGAAAGUCUAUCCUCCUGGUUAAUACAACUAUAU